UACGUAGGGUGCGAGCGUUAAUCGGAAUUACUGGGCGUAAAGCGUGCGCAGGCGGCGCCGCAAGUCAGACGUGAAAGCCCCGGGCUCAACUUGGGAACUGCGUUUGAAACUACGGUGCUGGAGUGUGGCAGAGGGAGGUGGAAUUCCACGUGUAGCGGUGAAAUGCGUAGAGAUGUGGAGGAACACCGAUGGCGAAGGCAGCCUCCUGGGCUAACACUGACGCUCAUGCACGAAAGCGUGGGGAGCAAACAGG
rnacentral:rRNA from 1 species